rnacentral:lncRNA from 1 species
UAUCAGCAGACAUAAAAUGUUCAUCAUUUUAGAUACAAAAUAUAAAUGGUAUGAGACUCUUUUAACAUCUGACAUGGUCACUUCAUAUAUCUUGGCUUUACUGUCAUCUGGUGUAAUACAUCCUAUGUAGAGUUGUCCUGUUUGAGUGAAUGCAAGAGAAUGUGGGAACAUUAUGUUUAUCUCCCUUGUUUUAUAAGAUGUCAUCAGCAGGCCAGCAUUGUUCAGGAUAUGAAGUGUAUGAUUAUCCCCAUCAGCUACAAUAACAUUGUCUCUAGGUGUUGUCACUAUGCUGUUGGAUAGAAUGGUUCAUCCUUGUUGAUCUCUGUAUGUCCUGUAUAAAUAUUGAUUAUAUCACCACCCUGUCCUAACACUACUACUCUCCAUCUGUAAUCACUUACUUUAUCCACCACAUGAAUAUUCCCAUUGCUUGUACUUGUUAUUCUC